rnacentral:rRNA from 1 species
AUUGAACGCUGGCGGCAUGCCUUACACAUGCAAGUCGAACGGCAGCACGGGAGCUUGCACCUGGUGGCGAGUGGCGAACGGGUGAGUAAUACAUCGGAACAUGUCCUGAAGUGGGGGCUAGCCCGGCGAAAGCCGGAUUAAUACCGCAUACGAUCCACGGAUGAAAGCGGGGGACCUUCGGGCCUCGCGCUAUAGGGUUGGCCGAUGGCUGAUUAGCUAGUUGGUGGGGUAAAGGCCUACCAAGGCGACGAUCAGUAGCUGGUCUGAGAGGACGACCAGCCACACUGGGACUGAGACACGGCCCAGACUCCUACGGGAGGCAGCAGUGGGGAAUUUUGGACAAUGGGCGAAAGCCUGAUCCAGCAAUGCCGCGUGUGUGAAGAAGGCCUUCGGGUUGUAAAGCACUUUUGUCCGGAAAGAAAUCCUUGGCGCUAAUACCGUCGGGGCAUGACGGUACCGGAAGAAUAAGCACCGGCUAACUACGUG